GCCAGUGUGGUGUAGUGGUUUGAGUGUUGGACUAGGACUCUGGAGACCACGGUUCAAUUCCUCACUUGCC
rnacentral:tRNA from 1 species